GGCCGCUGUCGUGGUGAUGGGGGCAGGCUCAGACCGCCUGCGCCACCCAGGCCCCGCCGCCCGCGUAAACAAAACGGAGGGUUUUGUUUACGGAGCACUCGCGGCGCCGGAGGCGGCGAGACCGCGAGUACUCCUACCCUGUCCGAACAACAGCCUGUGUUCCUUCCAAGCCUGCACCUCCAGCAUUCAACAAUGACAAAAUGUGGUAAAAAAUGCAGAAAACAACAUCCCUUCUCUCUCAAAAAAGAAAAAUUUAAAAGGCCUUAAAGGCGGAGGUGGCGAGGCAGCGACUGCUCGUACACUGACGGAGCAACCGGCUGUGCUCCCUCCAGCCCUGCACCUCAAGCACGCGACAAAGCCAAAAUAUGAGGUCCAGUUUAGUUUGUCAAGCAUUCAUUGCGUUUUUCACUACAUGAUGCAGUAAAAGAUGUCUACAGGAGUUUAAAAGUUACUCAGUCAAACCAGAGCCACAUUAUCAUAUUGAAAAUAUAUCUACUUUUUGCAAGAGUGGAGGAAAAUUCCUGGCUGGCAGCUGUGUUCCUGAUAUGAAGCCAAGCACUUAC